rnacentral:lncRNA from 1 species
ACACAGCAUCCCUGGUGCCUAUCCCUGGGUCAGUGCCCCUAGGACACCAUCCAUCUGCCAUGUAUUGGCUGGGUUGAAAGCUUGCUGAUGUGAUGCUCCACCAUGCAGCCCUAGGGGUUUAGGGAGAGAGGAGCUGGGACCCAGGCCUACUCUGCAGGAAGAGGCAUGGUGGAUCUGUGGGCAUCGGANNNNCCCUGCCCCUUCUCAGUAAGCAGGAAAGGCUUUCUAGAAGAGGGAAUGCCAGGCAUAUCUGUUUAUGUAAAGGAAAGGAAAGUUUGGGGAGAGGAAGGUCCAGGCAAACUGAGGCGGGGCAGGGAGGGCACUGGAAGGGGCAGGGGAGUGUCCCUCAGGCCCUCUCCCCACCCUCAGAGAGGGCUAGUGGAGGAGGGGUUGCCUCUGCCACUCCCAGUGUUCCCCAGGAUGUCCCUGUGUGAGCCUGCCUUACCUCUACCACCUGAUUCAGAGUCGUGGGAGUCUCUUCCCACUCCCCAGACCAGGAGUCAUAGGCCUGGCUGAGGAGGAGAGGAAAAUAUAUAGGCUCUGUCUUUGGGGAGCUCCACACCCACCUGGACCAUUUGGAGUCAAAACUGAAGCUGAAAGCAGGGCCUGGACUAUUAGGCCUUUGAAAGCUGUUGUGUGCCUGGCCAGAGCAGGACAGGUCUGAUGGUGGCACAUCUGGGGCAGGACAGGAACAGGGGAGACCCGAGGAGCUCCAUGCUGAGAGGCCUUGGGGAAGUCAUUGCCCCAGCCUGGGCUUUUUCACUCAUGAAACAGGUAUGUUCUGAUGAUGAUCAGUG